UCACAGUCUGCGGUCCGCACGGAUAGUAUUGAUCCCCGGGCCAGCCUGAGACGCCGCUCGUAGCUGACGUGAGCACAGGUUUGAAGUGACCACCAAACCAACAAUCAUCCCAAAGCAUGAUGGCUAAACCAAUGGCCCUGCUCAGUGG